GUAGACAUAGUUUAACUAAAACAUUAGAUUGUGAGUCUAAUAUCAGAAGAAUAGAAACUUCUUGUUUACC
rnacentral:tRNA from 1 species